AUUUUGUUCUUUUUGUCAGCACCAACUUCUGGAGAAAAUUGUAAUCACUGUCCUCUCUGCCAUGAAAACUUCACCUCAGGGGAGGUGGGCUGGAAGUCUCACCUCAUGGGAACUGAGGGUUGCAAACAGAACUCACGGAGGAGAGCGGUACAGCAGAGCACUCUCUCACACGCACAAGG